UGGAUGUUGUGCACUUGCGCUGCCCUCCUCUUCUGCAGGCUUGUUGUCUGGGCAUAGACUUGAGUGUGCCUGAAAAUUGGGAAGGCGCUAAAUUAGCAGUGUUAUUGCUACUGCCGCUUGCAUAUAGAGCCCCAUAUUUUAAUCACAGCCCACCAGCAUAUGCUCAUAUGUCCUGAGGGUCAGUACAGCCGCUACUAGUGCCCCGUCUUAAAGAGUGCUCUAGGUCAUGCCUUAUUGACCUAAUGGAAGCGCCAGAUCUGAUCCACACAGACAGAUUACACCACAAACAGCCCCACACAUUACACCGCAAACAUCCCCAUUCACCCACACUCAGAC